rnacentral:rRNA from 1 species
AGGGUUUGAUUCUGGCUCAGAUUGAACGCUGGCGGUAUGCUUAACACAUGCAAGUCGAACGGAAACGAAACUAGCUUGCUAGUAGGCGUCGAGUGGCGGACGGGUGAGUAACGCGUAGGAAUCUGCCUGAUAGUGGGGGAUAGCCCGAAGAAAUUCGGAUUAAUACCGCAUAAUCUAUUCGUAGUAAAGUGGGGGACUUUCGAGCCUCACGCUAUCAGAUGAGCCUGCGUAAGAUUAGCUUGUUGGUAGGGUAAAAGCCUACCAAGGCAACGAUCUUUAGCUGGUCUGGGAGGAUGAUCAGCCACAUCGGGACUGAGACACGGCCCGAACUCCUACGGGAGGCAGCAGUGGGGAAUAUUGGACAAUGGGGGCAACCCUGAUCCAGCAAUACCGCGUGUGUGAAGAAGGCCUGAGGGUUGUAAAGCACUUUCAAUUGUGAAGAAAAGUUAACGGUUAAUAACCGUUGACCUUGACGUUAACUUUAGAAGAAGCACCGGCUAACUCCGUGCCAGCAGCCGCGGUAAUUC